GUCAGGAUGGCCGAGCGGUCCAAGGCGCUGCGUUCAGGUCGCAGUCCGGUCUUCCGGGCGUCGGUUCGAAUCCCACUUCUGACA
rnacentral:tRNA from 1 species